AAAGGCCAAAGCCCCACCUGCUCCGUCGAGUCCCGUCGGCUCGCCCCGUCUCCCUCCCUCCUCCUCCCUCAAAUCAUAUCAUCAGAGCGAGAGGGACGGCGAGAGGAGAGCUGGGAAGGACAGAGAGAGAGAGAGAGUGAAGAGAAAGAGUAGCGUUGAUACACCGUCGAAUCGAAUCGAGACCCUCCCUCCGCCCCACCGCACCCCCCAUAUCGCAUCGGAAUCCAGCAUCGCCAUCGCCACCCCUCCAUCGCACCACCGCUUUCCACUCUCCACUCCCUUCCCACCCUCGCCCCGCCCCGCCCCGCGCUUGCGUGAUUCGUACGGUUUAUCACCGCCUCUUUCUCUUCCACUCUCUCUCCGUGGUUGGGUCCGGCUCGGUCCGGUCCGGUCCGCCCGCCGCCGCCGCGGCACCCACUACAAGUAGUAGCGACAUUCGUCUUCGCCUCCUCUGCGAUUCUUAUUCUGAUCCCCCGCCUCCCAAAUGUGUUUUGCGCCUGCUGCCGCUGGUUGAAUACAGGAGGCGGGGCGUUGUUUGUUGUGGCCUGUAACUGUCGGCGUGGCAGCUGUUGGUGCAGAGCGAGAUGGCGGGAGGGCCAGGAGGAGGCGGCGACGCCGGCGGCGAGCACGCGGCGGCGGCGUACUGGUACGACGCGUGCGAGGACAGCGCCUCCCUGCUCUGCGGCAUCGACUUCGCCGCGUCCGCCGACUUCGACCCGGGCCUCAUACCGGCCAUGGACUGCGGCGCCGAUGACGGCUUCGUCGCCGAGAUCGACCGGAUACUCGAGAGCAUCAACGCCGAGGCCACCCCCGCACCGCCGCCUCCUCCUCCUGCGCCUGCGCCUGCGCCAGCGCCAGCGCCUGUGGCUCCGCUGCAGCCACAGCCGCAGUUGCAGGAGGCGGCUGCGACCGUGGCCCACAAUGCGGUGGCGGUGUCGGACGUGGCGCAGAGGGCCCCGGCCGUGGAAGCGAGGAAGGAGCCCAGGAGGGAGUUCCCGGUCGCCGCGGCCAAUGGCGGCGACGACUGCAGGGACAGCAAGCGCCAGCGUCUCCCUGCGGGUGGUACCGGGGGACCACGCCACGACUGGCGGCGGCGUCCGAUGGCGCCCCCGCCUCCAUCCCGUGGGUGGGAGGACCGGGGGCGCGGAAGGCGGGAGUACGACAGGCCUCGUAAGCGCGACCGCGACGGCCACUACGGCCAAUGCCAUGAUCACCACCGACGCGACCCUCGGGGUUUCUGGGAGCGCGACCGCGGCGGCAAGAUGGUGUUCCGCCAUGGCAUGUGGGAGGCUGAGGCGGACCGCCAGGGAAAGCGUGCCAGGACGAAGGAUGGAUGCCCUCCUGCGGAGAAUAAGGCGGAGGUGGAUCGGUCGGGGAAGGAGAAGCCUGCCACUGAGGAGAAGGCGAGGCAGUACCAGCUCGAGGUGCUUGAGCAAGCAAAGAGCAGGAACACAAUUGCUUUCCUUGAAACUGGUGCGGGGAAGACUCUCAUAGCUGUGUUGCUCAUCAAAAGCAUCUGUGACAAAAUGCUCAAGGAGAACAAGAAGAUCCUUGCUGUCUUCUUGGUGCCUAAGGUGCCCCUUGUGUAUCAGCAAGCUGAAGUGAUACGCGAGAGGACCGGCUAUCGUGUUGGGCACUACUGCGGGGAGAUGGGGCAGGAUUUCUGGGAUUCUAGAAAGUGGCAGCGCGAGUUUGAGUCAAAACAGGUACUUGUUAUGACAGCUCAAAUUUUGUUGAACAUCCUUAGGCACAGUAUUAUUAAAAUGGAUGCCAUACAUCUUUUGAUUUUAGAUGAGUGCCAUCAUGCAGUGAAAAAGCACCCAUAUUCUCUAGUAAUGUCAGAAUUCUAUCACACCACUCCAAAGGACAAGAGACCAUCUGUGUUUGGCAUGACUGCUUCACCUGUUAACCUGAAGGGAGUGACUAGCCAAGAAGAUUGUGCUAUCAAGAUACGGAAUCUUGAGAGUAAACUGGAUUGCAUAGUCUGUACGAUCAAAGAUCGGAAAGAGCUGGAGAAACAUGUUCCCAUGCCUUUGGAAGUCAUUGUCCACUACGACAAAGCAGCCACUCUUUUAUCUUUCCAUGAACAAAUCAAACAAAUGGAGGCUGCAGUUGAAGAAGCUGCACUUUCUAGUUCUAAGAGAACUAAAUGGCAGUUCAUGGGAGCUAGAGAUGCAGGGUCUAGAGAUGAGCUACGUCUUGUCUAUGGUGUUUCUGAGCGUACAGAAAGCGAUGGUGCAGCUAAUUUAAUUCAGAAGUUGAGAGCUAUAAACUAUGCUCUGGGUGAACUAGGACAGUGGUGUGCUUACAAGGUUGCACUGUCAUUCUUGACAGCACUACAGAAUGAUGAAAGGGCCAACUAUCAGGUUGAUGUUAAGUUUCAAGAGUCAUACUUGAGAAAGGUAGUUGAUUUGUUACACUGCCAGUUGACUGAAGGGGCUGCAAUGAAAAGUGACAGUAAUGAUGUUGAAAUGCAUAAUUCUGAAAACCCCAAGCCAAAUGAACUUGAGGAGGGAGAGCUACCUGACAGUCAUGCUGUUUCUGUAGGUGAACAUGUAGAUGAAGUCAUUGGUGCCGCAGUGGCCGAUGGAAAAGUUACCCCAAGGGUGCAAGCUUUGAUAAAAAUACUUCUCAAGUAUCAGCACACUGAGGAUUUUCGUGCUAUCAUAUUUGUAGAGCGAGUGGUUACAGCAUUAGUCCUCCCUAAGGUCUUUGCAGAACUUCCAUCGUUGGGCUUUAUACGGUGUGCAAGCUUGAUAGGUCAUAACAAUAACCAGGAGAUGCGGUCGUGCCAAAUGCAGGAUACAAUCACAAAAUUUCGUGAUGGCCGUGUUACACUGUUAGUUGCAACUAGUGUUGCAGAGGAAGGACUUGAUAUUAGGCAGUGCAAUGUUGUCAUUCGCUUUGACCUUGCAAAGACUGUUUUGGCCUACAUUCAGUCUCGGGGUCGUGCUAGAAAGCCUGGAUCUGACUACAUAUUGAUGCUUGAAAGAGGAAAUAUGUCUCAUGAAGCUUUCUUGAGAAAUGCUCGGAAUAGUGAAGAGACAUUGAGAAAAGAAGCUAUUGAGAGAACUGAUCUCAGUCAUCUCGAUGGCACUUCUAUGCUAAGCCCUGUUGAUAUAUCACCUGAUUCUAUGUAUCAGGUUGAAUCAACAGGUGCCGUUGUCAGUCUGAACUCUGCAGUUGGACUCGUACAUUUUUACUGCUCACAGCUGCCGAGUGACAGAUACUCUAUUCUUCGACCGGAAUUUAUUAUGCAAAAGCAUGAGAAACCAGGGGGUUCAACAGAAUAUUCUUGCAAACUUCAACUCCCUUGUAAUGCCCCAUUCGAGAAACUUGAAGGUCCUAUAUGCAGUUCAAUACGCCUGGCCCAACAAGCUGUUUGUUUAGCUGCUUGUAAGAAGCUACAUGAGAUGGGUGCCUUCACAGAUAUGCUUUUACCUGACAGAGGAAGUGGGGAAGGAGAAAAGACUGAACAAAAUGAUGAAGGUGAUCCACUGCCUGGAACAGCACGCCAUAGAGAGUUCUUUCCUGAAGGGGUUGCUGAAAUUCUACAUGGAGAAUGGAUUUUAUCUGGAAGAGAUGGUUACCAAAGUUCACAGUUUAUUAAGUUAUAUUUGUAUUCUGUGAACUGUGUAAACAUUGGGACUUCAAAGGACCCUUUCGUUACACAACUUUCAAAUUUUGCUCUUAUUUUUGGCAAUGAGCUGGAUGCAGAGGUUUUAUCGACGACGAUGGAUCUCUUUGUUGCUAGGACAAUAAUAACAAAGGCAUCUCUCGUAUUCCGUGGACCAAUUGAAAUUACAGAAAGUCAGCUGAUCCUGCUUAAGAGCUUUCAUGUUAGGCUCAUGAGCAUUGUACUUGAUGUUGAUGUUGAUCCCUCAACAACUCCUUGGGAUCCAGCAAAAGCAUACCUCUUUGUUCCUGUGGGAGCUGAGAAAUGUAUGGAUCUUUUAAGAGAGAUAGAUUGGACUCUAGUUAAUAGCAUUGUGAAUUCUGAUGCCUGGAACAACCCUCUUCAGAGGGCACGCCCAGAUGUCUAUCUAGGCACGAACGAAAGGACACUUGGAGGGGAUAGGAGGGAAUAUGGGUUCGGGAAGUUGCGCCAUGGAACUGCAUUUGGACAGAAAGCCCACCCUACGUAUGGUAUCAGAGGAGCCAUCGCUGAAUUCGAUGUUGUCAAAGCGUCUGGAUUAGUUCCUGGUCGUGGAUGGGGACAUUUUAAUGAUUAUCAAAAUAAAGGCAAGUUGUUCAUGGCAGAUUCAUGUUGGGAUGCCAAAGAUCUUGCUGGAAUGGUUGUAACUGCCGCCCACUCAGGAAAAAGGUUCUAUGUGGACAGUAUUUGCUAUAAUAUGAAUGCAGAAAAUUCUUUCCCUAGGAAAGAGGGCUAUCUGGGUCCCUUGGAAUACAGCUCGUUUGCUGAUUACUACAAGCAGAAGUAUGGUGUGGAGUUAGUUUAUAAGAAACAACCUCUUAUACGGGCACGCGGUGUUUCAUACUGCAAAAAUCUACUUUCUCCUAGAUUUGAGCAUUCUGAAGCUAGCAAUGGAGAGUUCUCAGAGAAUCUUGACAAGACAUACUAUGUAUAUUUACCACCCGAAUUGUGCCUUGUGCAUCCUCUCCCCGGAUCACUUGUUCGUGGAGCUCAGAGGUUACCCUCAAUAAUGAGAAGGGUGGAGAGCAUGCUUCUUGCAAUUCAACUGAAGGACAUAAUUGGGUAUCCAGUUCCUGCAAAUAAGAUAUUAGAAGCCUUGACUGCUGCGUCAUGCCAGGAGACAUUCUGCUAUGAAAGAGCAGAGCUGCUGGGUGAUGCAUACUUGAAAUGGGUUGUGAGUAGAUUCCUUUUCCUAAAAUAUCCUCAAAAGCAUGAGGGACAGCUCACAAGGAUGCGGCAGCAGAUGGUUAGCAACAUGAUCCUGUAUCAAUACGCCCUGAAUAAAAACCUCCAAUCUUAUAUCCAAGCAGAUCGAUUUGCUCCAUCAAGAUGGGCAGCUCCAGGAGUGUUACCUGUAUUUGAUGAAGAAACGAGAGAUUCUGAACCAUCCAUCUUUGAUGAGGAAUUUACUCCUAGCAGUGAGUUACAAAAGAACUUGUAUGAUGACUAUGAUGGCGAUAGCAUGCAAGAAGACGGUGAAAUUGAGGGAGAUUCUAGCUGCUAUCGUGUUCUAUCAAGCAAAACAUUAGCAGAUGUUGUGGAAGCACUUAUUGGUGUCUAUUAUGUAGCUGGAGGGAAAAUUGCUACAAACCAUCUGAUGAAAUGGAUCGGUAUUAAUGCAGAGUUGGAUCCUCAAGAGAUCCCAUCUUCGAAGCCAUAUAACAUACCUGAGAGCAUAAUUAAAAGCAUCAAUUUUGACACAUUAGAGGGUGCAUUGGGUAUCAAGUUUCAGAAUAAAGGCUUACUUGUUGAAGCUAUAACACAUGCAUCAAGACCAUCAUCAGGUGUUUCCUGUUACCAGCGCCUGGAAUUUGUUGGUGAUGCUGUAUUGGACCAUCUCAUUACGAAGCACUUAUUUUUUACUUAUACGGACCUACCUCCAGGCCGCUUGACUGACUUGAGAGCUGCAGCUGUUAAUAAUGAGAACUUUGCAAGGGUUGCAGUUAAACAUAAGCUACAUGUACAUCUUCGCCAUGGAUCAUCUGCAUUGGAGACACAGAUUCGAGAGUUUGUGAAGGAUGUCCAGGAGGAGCUUUCGAAACCAGGUUUCAAUUCUUUUGGCCUUGGGGAUUGUAAGGCUCCAAAGGUUCUCGGAGACAUUUUUGAGUCUAUUGCUGGCGCAAUAUUCCUUGAUAGUGGGUGUGCUACCUCCGUAGUCUGGAAGGUUUUUCAGCCUCUGCUUGAUCCAAUGGUGACGCCGGACACCCUUCCGAUGCACCCUGUAAGGGAGCUCCAAGAGCGCUGCCAGCAGCAAGCCGAAGGAUUAGAAUACAAAGCAUCCCGUACAGGCAAUGUAGCUACAGUUGAAGUCUUGGUUGAUGGCAUACAGAUUGGUGUAGCUCAGAACCCACAGAAGAAGAUGGCACAAAAGUUGGCGGCUAGAAAUGCACUUGUUGUCUUGAAAGAGAAGGAAACCGCAGCAAAGAAAGACACUGAAAAGGAUGGCGAGAAGAAAAACGGUUCUCAGUUCACUAGGCAGACUCUGAACGACAUCUGCUUGAGAAGGCAAUGGCCGAUGCCACAGUACAGGUGUAUAAACGAGGGUGGCCCUGCCCAUGCCAAAAGAUUUGUUUAUGCGGUAAGGGUAAAUACAUCUGACAGUGGAUGGACUGACGAGUGCAUUGGAGAGCCAAUGCCGAGUGUGAAAAAGGCCAAGGACUCUGCAGCUGUUCUUCUGCUCGAGCUGCUGAAUCGAAAUUACCGUGGCAAGCCUGAUGGAAAAUAAUCUUUGGUGAUGUUCUGUGGUGGUAGGUAGACGUGGAAGCAUCCAUCAUUCUGAUUAUACCCCCAUGCAGUGCUUUUCAGCAAAGCAAAUUAAUGGCCUUUGUUGAUGUUCUUGGUGGCGGUAUUGGUGAUAUGGAGGCAUUCAAUGCAAGCAUAAGCAGAGCUAUGGGGAGUGGGAUUAGAGGAUUAUUAUUAGUUUUGUCUGAGGUGACUACUAGGUAUUUUACUGGCGAGGAUGCGCCUGCAGCUGGGAACUCGGGGUUCUCUAUCUUGGCCUCGCCGACCAAAUAUCACGUACGUCGACGUCCGCGAACAGUAUAUAUAUGGUAGGCUUGGCGGGCGUGAUCCCCUUGCGCAUGGUACAGAGCAAGACGCUGAGCUGGAUAUUCUGAUAAUCCCGUAUACUCCAACAGAAACUACAGAAUGGAAUCAAGUUGUACCUGCGUUUCUGCUGCUCAAAAAUUGCGAGAUGGACCAUGGACGUGUGUUGUUUGGCAACAACGACGCAACCAGCACGGACAAGAAGGGGGGACAUGCAGUCUCUCGAAACCUGUCCUAUACAAUUAGAAAGAAAAAAAAGAGGGAAAAUAAAAGGAAAAGAACGCGAGGGCAGGGCCGGCCGGUCGGUCGGUGCCUGCGCCGCACUUUUGUCAUGUGCCUAGCACAAUCGAGGGCCUCACCUGCCCGCCUACCUAAAAAAUAGUCUUUUGGACAUUAAUGAUCACGAGCGAGCUGGGCUGCCAAAAUGCUGCAUGAUUCAUGUUUUGUGAAAGACAAAGCUGCAUCAUUGAUUGAUUAGCGCCUGAGGCUUGAAAGGAGGAGGGGGGAGAGAAGGAAAAGAAGCUUGCGAUUUGGCCACUGAAAGUGGAUCCAACUUUGCACCCAACAGCCAGCAUGGGGAACCUGAUCCGGCCAGGGCGUGCACACGAUAACGAAGGGCUUUACGUUCUUUCCUCGUAAAAAAAAAGAGAAGAAAAGAAAAGACGAUGAUCAUGCUCCGAUGAUCCCUACCCAGCACAGUACAGACUACAGAGUACAGACUGAUUCGAAGCACAAGAUGCUGUGAAUUCCGGGUUCAGUCUCAGUUCCAGUAGCGCUGGCGCUGCCAAGGGCCAAGCCUGGAUACUGAACUACUGAAGCUUCGCGUGAGCGCCCCGCACCGGAGUUCGUCUUCCUGGAAUUGGGGUCAAAUGAUCUACUGACUGAUUGGCCACUGAUGGCGACGGCACGGACCUGAUGGACCUGCCUCCAUGUGCAGCACCGCGCCGGAGCCGGACUGGAGUAGCAGGAAGGAGUACGAAGACAGGCAGGCGGAGCCGCGGAGGCAUGGACCUGAAUGAAACUGGCAGUACAUAGCUGCUAGCUUAGCACUUGGCAACGCGCCAACGCCGUUAUUUGCUGUAGCAGAAGCCGAGGCUGAGCUGGGAUGACGUUACAGUAACAGUUACCACAGCGCUGUACCUAAGUGUCAGUCUGUAACAAUAAUAAAAAAAGGUGCUGUAACAACAAACAACAGUGAAAAAAGAAGGUUCCACUCCAGUCUCCAGCUCCCAGCUCCGCUUCCACACCGGCAGUGGCUGGUUCAGAUCUCAGAGAUCUUCAGCAUUCCAUGCAUUCGGUUCAGAGAGACAGAGUCUAGCUAUCUUUCUUUCUUCAGUACGUGACCCGGCUUUACCAGCCAACAAACUGCGUGGACCAGACGGCGGGCUCUGCACUGGUGGAUGCAUCCAUCCAUGCUUCCUUUUGGGUAAAGCUUGAAGAAUGGCGCCUGGCGCGGCUGUAGAAAAGCUCUCUGCCUCCUUUUUUUUUUUAACGUGGAAGGCACUCGGAUGUGAGGCUUCUUUUUUUUUUUUUAACCCCACUUCUGAUGCCAGAAUCUAUUGUGGCCUCGUCAGCUGCCUGCUCCUAACUAACUAACCACACGUGUACGCACGAGCACUCGUAAACUUGUCUUUGUUACGGACUA